AAGAACCUGGCGGCGUGCUUACACAUGCAAGUCGCGUGCGCGGUUCCGUAGCAAUACGGGAUGGGCGCACGGCGCACGGGUGCGUAACACGUGGGCAAUCUGCCCUCCGAUGGGGAAUAACCCCGCGAAAGCGGGGCUAAUACCGCAUAACAUUCCUUGGACUAUGGUUUGAGGACUCAAAGCAGCAAUGCGUCGGAGGAGGAGCCCGCGCCCGAUUAGCUAGUUGGUGAGGUAACGGCUCACCAAGGCAAUGAUCGGUAGCUGGUCUGAGAGGAUGGCCAGCCACACUGGAACUGAGACACGGUCCAGACUCCUACGGGAGGCAGCAGUGGGGAAUCUUGCGCAAUGGGCGAAAGCCUGACGCAGCGACGCCGCGUGGGGGAUGAAGCUUCUCGGAGUGUAAACCCCUUUCGACUGGGACGAAUGCCCGCAAGGGAGUGACGGUACCAGUAGAAGAAGCCCCGGCUAACUACGUGCCAGCAGCCGCGGUAAGACGUAGGGGGCCAGCGUUGUUCGGAAUUACUGGGUGUAAAGGGUUCGUA
rnacentral:rRNA from 1 species